rnacentral:rRNA from 1 species
UACGUAGGGGGCAAGCGUUGUCCGGAUUUAUUGGGCGUAAAGAGCGUGUAGGCGGCCAGACAGGUCCGUUGUGAAAACUGGAGGCUCAACCUCCAGACGUCGAUGGAAACCGUCUGGCUAGAGUCCGGAAGAGGAGAGUGGAAUUCCUGGUGUAGCGGUGAAAUGCGCAGAUAUCAGGAAGAACACCCGUGGCGAAAGCGGCUCUCUGGGCCGUUACUGACGCUGAGGAGCGAAAGCGUGGGGAGCGAACAGG